UUUUAUAUUUAAUAAUAUCCAAAGUUGUUUAAAUGCAAGAGUAAAUAAUAGCUAUGUAUGGUUGAGAUACCAGGGCCACCUGGAUGAUAGUAUAACCAGUGUGGUAGUAUAAAUCUCAUACAAAA